UACGUAGGUGGCAAGCGUUAUCCGGAAUUAUUGGGCGUAAAGGGUGCGUAGGCGGCAUAAUAAGUCUGAUGUUAAAGGCAGUGGCUCAACCACUGUUAGCAUUGGAGACUGUUAAGCUAGAGUACAGAAGGGGCAAGUGGAAUUCCAUGUGUAGCGGUAAAAUGCGUAGAUAUAUGGAGGAACACCAGUGGCGAAGGCGGCUUGCUGGUCUGUAACUGACGCUGAUGCACGAAAGCGUGGGGAGCAAAUAGG
rnacentral:rRNA from 1 species